rnacentral:rRNA from 1 species
GAUCCUGGCUCAGGAUGAACGCUAGCGACAGGCUUAACACAUGCAAGUCGAGGGGCAGCACGGGAGUAGCAAUACUUGGUGGCGACCGGCGCACGGGUGAGUAACGCGUAUGCAACCUACCUAUCAGAGGGGAAUAACCCGGCGAAAGUCGGACUAAUACCGCAUAAAACAGGGGCACCGCAUGGUGAUAUUUGUUAAAGAAAUUCGCUGAUAGAUGGGCAUGCGUUCCAUUAGGUAGUUGGUGAGGUAACGGCUCACCAAGCCGACGAUGGAUAGGGGAACUGAGAGGUUGGUCCCCCACACUGGUACUGAGACACGGACCAGACUCCUACGGGAGGCAGCAGUGAGGAAUAUUGGUCAAUGGGCGGGAGCCUGAACCAGCCAAGUCGCGUGAAGGAAGAAGGAUCUAUGGUUCGUAAACUUCUUUUGCAGGGGAAUAAAGUGCAGGACGUGUCCUGUUUUGUAUGUACCCUGAGAAUAAGGAUCGGCUAACUCCGUGCCAGCCGCCGC